rnacentral:rRNA from 1 species
GACGAACCGUGCGAACGUUAUUCGGAAUCACUGGGCUUAAAGCGCGUGUAGGCGGUUGGGAACGUCGGUCGCUGAAAUCCCCCGGCUCAACCGGGGAACUGGCACCGAAACGACCCGUCUGGAGGGACGUAGGGGGACCUGGAACUUCCGGUGGAGCGGUGAAAUGCGCAGAUAUCGGGAAGAACACCCGUGGCGAAGGCGGCACUCUGGGACGGUACUGACGCUGAGACGCGAAAGCGUGGGGAGCGAACAGG